GACGAACGCUGGCGGCGUGCCUAAUACAUGCAAGUUGAGCGCUGAAGGUUGGUACUUGUACCGACUGGAUGAGCAGCGAACGGGUGAGUAACGCGUGGGGAAUCUGCCUUUGAGCGGGGGACAACAUCUGGAAACGAAUGCUAAUACCGCAUAAAAACUUUAAACACAAGUUUUAAGUUUGAAAGAUGCAAUUGCAUCACUCAAAGAUGAUCCCGCGUUGUAUUAGCUAGUUGGUGAGGUAAAGGCUCACCAAGGCGAGGAUGCAUAGCCGACCUGAGAGGGUGCUCGGCCACAUUGGGACUGAGACACGGCCCAAACUCCUACGGGAGGCAGCAGUAGGGAAUCUUCGGCAAUGGACGAAAGUCUGACCGAGCAACGCCGCGUGAGUGAAGAAGGUUUUCGGAUCGUAAAACUCUGUUGGUAGAGAAGAACGUUGGUGAGAGUGGAAAGCUCAUCAAGUGACGGUAACUACCCAGAAAGGGACGGCUAACUACGUG
rnacentral:rRNA from 1 species